UACGAAGGGGGCUAGCGUUGCUCGGAAUUACUGGGCGUAAAGGGAGCGUAGGCGGAUAGUUUAGUCAGAGGUGAAAGCCCAGGGCUCAACCUUGGAAUUGCCUUUGAUACUGGCUAUCUUGAGUACGGAAGAGGUAUGUGGAACUCCGAGUGUAGAGGUGAAAUUCGUAGAUAUUCGGAAGAACACCAGUGGCGAAGGCGACAUACUGGUCCGGUACUGACGCUGAUGUGCGAAAGCGUGGGGAGCAAACAGG
rnacentral:rRNA from 1 species